AGGAACGACAAUUCGACAAUCCGAAAUUCAAAAAAUUUUGUGAAGAACUUCAUAUUACCCACAUGCUUACCUUGGUAGGCAUCCAUAAUUAAACAAAGAAGCCAUAAUUAAACAAAAAAGCUGAGGUAAUGAAUAGAACCAUUCUACAGGGUCUAAAAAUAAGGUUGAAUCAAGCUAAAGGACUAGGUGGAGUUGUAUAAUGUCUUAUGGGCUUAUCGAACUACUUAGAUCCCAACUGGAGAGACUUCGUUCAACCUAGCAUUUAGAAUAGAAGUAAUAGUACUGUAGAAAUUGACUUUCCAUCAACAAGAGUGGAAUAUUAUGAAGAGCCA
rnacentral:lncRNA from 1 species